rnacentral:rRNA from 1 species
UGGGGAAUCUUGGACAAUGGGGGCAACCCUGAUCCAGCCAUGCCGCGUGGACGAUGAAGGCCUUAGGGUUGUAAAGUCCUUUCACCGGUGACGAUAAUGACGGUAGCCGGAGAAGAAGCCCCGGCUAACUCCGUGCCAGCAGCCGCGGUAAUACAGAGGGGGCAAGCGUUGUCCGGACUUACUGGGCGUAAAGCGCACGCAGGUGGUAACGCAAGUGGGGUGUGAAAGCCGCCAGCUCAACUGGCGGAGGCCAUCCCAAACUGCGUCACUCGAGGCCUGUAGAGGUAUGUGGAAUUGCCGGUGUAGUGGUGAAAUGCGUAGAGAUCGGCAGGAACACCCAGGGGGAAGCCAGCAUACUGGACAGGUCCUGACACUCAGGUGCGACAGCGUGGGGAGCGAACCGGAUUAGAUACCCGCGUAGUCC